ACCAGUUAGACUUGUUUGGGAUAAUUAUGCCCAUGAGCAGAAACACGAUUUUCAGUUCAGUUUUUCACUGAGAGACUUUUCCCUAGACGGGAGGAUAACUUUAUGUCUUUAAGUUUCUAGGUCUGCAGUGCACCAGAGCAAUGUUCUUUGAAAGGGUUUCAGCUGGCUUUGACAUUUACUAGCAAAGCUGGCAUAAAGACAGAUUCCUGGGGCUGUCCAGCAGGUAUUCUGAAUAUAUACCAUCUCAUUUGAUAGAAAUGGCCUUUUCCUGCUGCUUCACCUGUUGCCCCUUGUUCCCAGGUCCUUCAAGAGAGAGGGAACCUCUGAAUGCCCAGCACUCAAGAAAACGUCAAGACAUCAGAAAUGUUCAUUUCAGCAAAGGGAAACCGCUUACCAUGAAACGAGUCAACAUACCUGAGAUUGAUGCACUGUUCAACAGCAUUGCUGAGACUUUCAAUAAGCAGCAAGAUGAUUGCCUGUCUCUCCGGGAAGCUAUGCAGAACUUAAAGGAUUCCUAUGACUGUUCCCCUGCAAGCAGUUUUUCUGUAUGCAUAGAGAAGAUCUUGCAGGAACAUAGUGCUUACCAUGUGCAGGUGUGUAUGGAAGGAUACAGGUUUUGGCUAGAUGUGGGAGCAAAGGAAGUCCCUGAGAAACUGAAGCAGACUCAGCAGCAGGUGGGAAAGCUGAACUUUGCCACCAAAGGAAUCGUUAGUACAACAGUACAGGAAAUGAUCCACUCAGUUCAUCAGAGCCAGGACAAUUUGAUGGAAAACGUGAGAAACUCAUCACCUGAAUACCUAGACUGGCUACGUCUAGAAAACAACCUGAAAGAAAAUAUUGGGAAGAUAAAUCAAGCACAGAGGUUUUCAGAGCAGCACAAAGAAGAAGCUCAUUGUGUGCUGAUGGAUAUGGCAAAAUCAGCGAACGCGACUCUGUAAAGAGAAUGAGAAAGUUGCAUUCUACUUUUCUUACCUGAAAGAUGCAUCAAGCUGCUUGCAACAAAAAAUCCUGCAGAAUAUGAUUUGGCUACACAAGUUAUGCUACAUCUAGAUGUUAAAAUAUAUCCAGAGAUGUCUUAUGGAAGUGCCACAUGCCCAUGGUCUCCAGAAAAUCUUGAUGUUUUCUGAACACAAAUCUUAAAUGUUCAUGGGAAAGCCAUGCUAACGAAUAGAAGAACUGAUGAAUGCUUUAUGACAUUGUCACAAUGAAAAGAUCUUUCUGAAAAGUAUAUUCUCAUAUCCCAAGAUCGAAAACACCUAAGAUAGCUCUUCUUAAUUUCAUAUGCAGAGCAAUAAAGACAGGAGUCUAGUAAGGUAAAGUUCUGAUCUCUCCCUUUUUUGACUAUGCCUGCUUCUCCCAAAUGACUGAGAAACAAUAAUAACAAGAUUUUUCAAGAACUGCAAAAGCAGAAAAGGGGUUAUAGUUAAGUAAUAUAUUUCGGGCCUGCGACUGGUGCAUGGUGUAAGUUACUUUUGCCACUGGUGACUGUUUAUUAUGUUUGUCUGGUUGCCUGGGGAACCAGCUCACACCGUUUCACUCAUUUUAUAAUGUUCCUGUAAAUGUUAGGUAGGGCUGGGAUUUAUUAUGCACUGUCAACACCUCAAAUGGAACGCGCCACUGAGCUCCACUUACUUGGCAAGGUGCCCCUGUUUGCUCCUUUUUUUUUUUUCCCCUUCUUCAAUAAUUUUAAAAUAAAAAAUUAGCCUUAGGCAUCCAGAUUUCUACUGUUCAUGUAAUCCAGGGUAUGUUUCUGCUUGCAUAUGUACAUCUUUCCAGCAAAACUAUAGGUGGUCAGAUUCUCAGUGGAGCCAUUGGUUGGAGGAGAACUGAUGCAGAAUUGGUCAAGAGAACAAGCAAGUGAGCAAGCCAACUCCCACUGAAUGGAAUCUGUGACUGACUUACAAUUUGCGAGAGGUAACAUUUUAGGGGAAAGAGGUAGGAACAUGUUUACUGAGGGUGUUUCUCAUCCAAACACAGUAUGACCCCAUCACCAUCAACUCAACAGCUCCUGUUGAUUCAGAAGAGGAAUAAUAUAGAUUAUUAUGACCAGUAUAUGAUGUUUUUAUUUUCCUUCUUCAUUCCCACAGAAGAGUAGACAUAUUUGAUUGGUAUCAGGCACAGUAGACUUCUUUGGGAAGAUGGGACCGACCUGGGAUAAACAUAGAAUGAAAUACAGAAAUGGCAUUAAAAAGUGACCUUUCCCCAUUGCUUAGCUGAACUGGUAUCCAUCCAUCCUUGAGUCAGUAGAAAACUACUAGCAUUAACUAUGCUGUCCUCUUUGCCACUCCCUAUCCUAUAUUCUCUAUUUCAAGGCCCUGCAGUCCUCCCUGGACUUCCUCCAAAGUAACGGGUGAUAGAGUCUAAGUCAGCUGUUGAACACUGCUGGAAUAAAGGAAGAGGGACUACUUACACUGAUACUGCUGUGGCUACUAAGGAUGGCUGGUACUGCUAAGGAUGACUUAUGCUUAUUACAUCCACAAGAAGCAGAGCCCAGUUUGUGCUGACUGCUUUCUAAGCAAAAUUCUGGCACUGGGUGAGAGAAUGGAAAGAAAACACACAGACUGAGUUGCAGAGGAGCGUUAGGAGGACUCACCAAAGCACUUGUUGGCCAAGAUCUGAUUAAAACUGCAAGAAGCCAAGAUUCUGUGCUGAAAGUCUCUCAAAUGUAGUUUGAAACAAUCUGGAAUCAUGUUGACAUCUGACCUUAAAACAAGGAACAAAGAAUACCAUUUAAUCACUACCUCACCCCAAGAUGCCACUACAAGAUGCCACUACAAUAACACAAAUCUUAGUCCCACUCCAUGAAAAAGGAAA